rnacentral:rRNA from 1 species
GGCUCAGGAUGAACGCUAGCGGCAGGCUUAACACAUGCAAGUCGAGGGGGUAUAGUUCUUCGGAGCUAGAGACCGGCGCACGGGUGCGUAACGCGUAUGCAAUCUACCUUUUACAGAGGGAUAGCCCAGAGAAAUUUGGAUUAAUACCUCAUAGUAUGUGAGAAUCGCAUGGUUUUCACAUUAAAGUCACAACGGUAAAAGAUGAGCAUGCGUCCCAUUAGCUUGUUGGUAAGGUAACGGCUUACCAAGGCAACGAUGGGUAGGGGUCCUGAGAGGGAGAUCCCCCACACUGGUACUGAGACACGGACCAGACUCCUACGGGAGGCAGCAGUGAGGAAUAUUGGACAAUGGGCGCAAGCCUGAUCCAGCCAUGCCGCGUGCAGGAUGACGGUCCUAUGGAUUGUAAACUGCUUUUGUACAGGAAGAAACACUCCCUCGUGAGGGAGCUUGACGGUACUGUAAGAAUAAGGAUCGGCUAACUCCGUG